CAGACCGUGUGCGUCUUCCAUGUUGGAAAUAACUACGAGAAUAAACCUUUUGUUGGAUUGGAUUGACGUUUCAUGGUCUUCAUUGUUUGGUCCUGCAUCCUGACCCGAUGCCCAUGGUUCGUGCCUAUAUAAAACGCACUGCUGAUCCAUGCAGCUAUGUGCACAACACACAGCUGGUGUGUCGUGUCCUGAGGAACACAGUCAUCUCAGGUGGUUUGGUUGUCCUCGUUUCUGCACAAGCCAAACAAGGAAACACUCAUGGAGAGCUGCAGAGCGAGGGAAGGCUAUAUUUAAAACCCUCAUCACAAUGUCCAAAUCCCAUCGUAUUCAAUGAGGCUGUGGACUCGUCUACCAGCACUGUGUCGGGGCUUCUACUACAAGAUACACACCCUAACUAAAACCACACAGGGAUUACACAUUAACAUCCAUCCACGCAUGCAUACAGUCUACUGAAAACUAGCAACAAAGCAAUCUGUUCUAGAGAUGAAAAUAUGAUUCCUGUGUGUAUGUCAGAGGGAGAUAUGAAAGUAGCUACACAAGAGCCAACAGCUGUUAUAAGGUUUGCGGCUUUCAUGUUGUAAAUAUUUAAUGUCCGUAAACCUCCAGUCAUUGUGUCUACUGUUUAAUAAGACUGGACCUCAAAUGAGAGCUCAUUUCCUGUCCUCCUGUACAUAGUACUGUGCUCUCAAAGAAACACACCAAGUUCACAAACAUGGAGACUGAUGCAAAGAUAUAAACCAAUGUUACAGAACUUAUGUGAAUAAACAUGAAUACUGUAAAAUGACAUGCCAAGAAAAUGGAAAGAACCUGAUUAUAAAUGGUACUAAUACUCAUGUUGAGGCAGCUAUAAUCAAUAUUUUUUACAAUGACAAAGAGAACAAGGUGAAAUAGGUCACUCAUAGUCAUAAUCCUGCAGAGAAUUAUCACCUGAAUUUGAAUGGAACUUUCUGACUUUCAGUGUUUUUACUUAUCAAGCCCACAACUUUACUGUUUUCAUCACUCGCACUGCCCAUAGACUCAUUUUUAUCUGUAACGGGCAGCUGUCUAAAAACCCACCAUGCACUACCUGCUCAGCACCAAACAGUUAGAGUUGGUAGAGACC